rnacentral:rRNA from 1 species
CUUAAGCAUAUCAAUAAGCGGAGGAAAAGAAACUAACAAGGAUUCCCCUAGUAACGGCGAGUGAAGAGGGAAAAGCUCAAAUUUUGAAUCUGGUGUCUUUGGCGCCCGAGUUGUAAUCUAGAGAAGCGUUUUCUGCCUCGGACCACACAUAAAUUCCCUGGAAUGGGGUGUCAUAGAGGGUGAGAAUCCCGUUUGUGGUGUGGACUACCUUGGCUCUGUGAUACGCUCUCAACGAGUCGAGUUGUUUGGGAAUGCAGCUCAAAAUGGGUGGUAAAUUCCAUCUAAAGCUAAAUAUUGGCGAGAGACCGAUAGCGAACAAGUACCGUGAGGGAAAGAUGAAAAGCACUUUGGAAAGAGAGUGAAACAGUACGUGAAAUUGUUGAAAGGGAAGCGUUUGAAGUCAGUCACAUCGGUCGGAAUUCAGCCUGGCAUUGCCUGGUGUACUUUCUGGCAGAUGGGUCAGCGUCAAUUUUGACUGAGGGAAAAAGACUUGAGGAAUGUGGCUGUCUUCGGGCAGUGUUAUAGCCUCUUGUUGUAUGUCUCAGUUGGGAUUGAGGACCGCAGCACGCCUUAUGGCCGGGGUUCGCGCCCUCGGAACGUGCUUAGGACGCUGGCAUAAUGGCUUUAAGCGACCCGUCUUGA